AAAAUAAAAUAAAACAGUGAUGAAAGGAAGAGAAACCCUUUAAAAGGAGAGGCUUUUGCAAAGGGCUUAUGAAAAUGCCUUCCAGAAGAUCUGAGAGUACAGAGAAGGGAAAACAGGAAAAGUGGAUUGCAAGGCAGAGGAACGUCUGCUGAUGGCAUUAGGUCAGCAAACCUGGGGGGAAGUUGCGAUAGAAUCCAGCCCCUCACCCAACCUAUCAAUUAUUUUUUUCAGUGCCUGGACCUGACUAAUGUUAACCCCAUAAUUUCAAGGAAGUCAAGGUUGCAUCAGUCUAUACAGGCUUGUCAACUAAUAACUGGCCAUAGGAUCUCUUUGGUGGUAGCAUCUUGAUUCUGGAAUUCUCUUUCCAGAAAUAUGCAUCAGUGCCUUUAAGGCUUGCUGCAUUUGCCUGCCUGUCCAAGCAUGAGCUGCGGAAAGUUGGUCCGAGGACGGACGAUCAAGGCCGACCACGAAUCACGUCCAGCGAGCAGUCACUCUGGCAACGCUGAAGCCAUGCUUAUGAAGAAAGCCAAUGCAACAAAGAGUUCAGAAACAACGUAGGUGUAUGACAUCAUCAAGGGCUGUGGCCUGUCCAGCCAGCUGCAUCCCAGUCAAGCCAGGAAUUCAGAUUCCAAGCACGGCUCUUCAAAAUUCAUUAACUGUUCAUUUAAUUCCUCUGUGAGGAAAGUGACUGGGCUAAGCUGUAUUUUUUUCCCUUGCUCAAAUAGUGCUAUUUUUCUCUCAUCUCCUCCACCUUGAAGACAUGUCGUUUGGGCCACACGAUCCUUCCUCUUCCCUUUACUGUCCAUCUGCCUUGCUCUACGUCAGAGUUUGGCAACCAAAGGCCUGUAAUAAUAUUUUGCCUACAGCAAACGCUACAUUGUAGUGGUGCUCUAUCAAACUCAAGAGUGCAGGAAAGGGUGAUGUGACAGGAAACAGCCACAUCCUUGGAGGAAGAACUUAGUGGCCAUAGCUUGGUUUCUUUAACCAGCAAGUGUGAAAGCACCUCCGUUUGUAUCCUUCUACCCUCACCUUGUUCUCUGCUCUGAGGUCUAAGAUUUGCCGUGAGAGCAAAAGGACACACUGGAAUGUCUGCCCUCACUGAAGUUCUAACCAGAUCAUGGAACAGCAAGAUAAGGCACUGCUACGACUCUCACCUCAGGCUCCUUGUAAGGAACCAGGACUCAGUGAUCAGACUCCCACCUUGCCACCACGUGUUUCCAAGGAAGACUGAAUGUUAAGGUUCCCAAGCACCUCUCAGACCACAUUGCCAGCUUGCCCAGUCACUUAAAACAGCCGAUCCCAAGGAUUUAUAAAAUCUUUGACUCCAGGAUUGUUCCUCAGUCCAAGCUACUAUUUCUGGCAUAAGGACACACCUAUGGAUUUCUUCUGGCUGGUUCUGAGUUUACAUUCCUGGUCACUGUGUGAGCUUUGCCUGCUUGGGAUCAUAUGCUUCUGGCCUACUUUGGAUUGACAGGAAGAUUCCCUGAGGGUCCCAAAGCCUACCUACUUCAUGCCUGACUCUUGUCAAGAGUACUAUCCCACUUUGCUUCAAGAUAACAAUGACAUCAUAGAGCCGCAUCUCCUUGUCCAGGAAGGAAUUCUUUCCCUCUGGCUUACAAAGCAGCCUGAGAGUACAGAAUUAUCCUACAAUGCGUGUUUUUAUCUACACUAAUGGAAUUGUUUUAUGACAGAGGUUACAUUGGUAGUAAUCCUGCUUAUUGUCCUAAAUCUGUUUAGAAGAGUGGAAAAGUAAGGAUUGCACAAUCUGAAUAUGAAUCCAGAUUUAAGUCUCAGCAUCCUGGAAAAUUUCAUUGUUUUAACCCCCCGACCCCCCAACUUACAGAUGCAUCCAAUAGGUUUGAAAAGGUACAAGCAAUAAUGGCGAAACGUCAGACGCCAGAGAUAGGGCUUUCAGUGGCCUGACACUGGGGUUUCAGUUACUUGCCUGCUUUUAAAGGCAAUCCACAAAAAUCCCAGCAGACCCCUCUCAUCAUCUGUCAGAGAAGAUCCACCUCAGUGUGGAACCGGGAGGUGGGGAGAAAAGGAAGAUCUCUGCAGUUCAAUGGAUCCCCAUGGGUUAUAUAUAUCUUUGGUUAAUGGGAAAGGGAGGGACAUCAGGGUGGAUUUCAGGAGGAUCCCUUUGAUCUGAUGAAGAGAGAGGUCAUGCUUUAAAUGACACAACAGGUGGGGGGGAAGAGAGGAGAGUGCAGAGACGUGCAAAGAUCGUGGGGUAGUGGUGGUGGGAGAGGGCGGGGGAAGGGUAAUGGGGGACAGGAGAAAAGGCCAUAGUGUUUAAGGGGAAACAGGGG